rnacentral:lncRNA from 1 species
AGAAGAGUCUGUUGAGUGCCUCAGCAUUGGUGAGCACUGGUGUAAGAUUUGACUUUUGGAUGUCCAUUAGCACUGAGCGUGCUCUGCUAAUUCUCCUACAUUCUGCCCGUACAGCUGCAAGUUGUUCGGGCUCCAGGACUGCGACCCCUUUCCGUGCCAGUCAGGAACCAGAGGAGGAAGGGAGGGAGCCCCAGAGGAGCAAGGUAUGCUUGACUCUUCAGCUUUCAGCAAGGUCUGGAGGAAGAAAGCAAGAUGCUGUAAACUGAAACUAGAAACAGCAAAGUGAAAACACACACACACACACAUCAUAUAUAUAUAUAUAUAAAAAUACAUCAAAUACAUAUACAAGUUUCUAAAAGGUUUCAAUCAUUUUAAAAUUGCACAUGAUUGCUCUCCAGCUCCCCAAAACGCUUUCAUCUAUGAGCAGAAAAAAGUGUAGCUUUCUCAAGUUUUAAAAGCAUUGUUGGGGCAUGUCUAACAGAUUUGUCUAACUCUGUAUGUCUUGAUAUAUGCAGCGUGGUUGAUUGUAUUCUCCUUAGCAUAGACCUUGAAACUG